rnacentral:rRNA from 1 species
CAGUCGCCGCGGUAAUACGUAGGUGGCAAGCGUUGUCCGGAAUUAUUGGGCGUAAAGGGCUCGCAGGCGGUUUCUUAAGUCUGAUGUGAAAGCCCCCGGCUCAACCGGGGAGGGUCAUUGGAAACUGGGAAACUUGAGUGCAGAAGAGGAGAGUGGAAUUCCACGUGUGGCGGUGGAAUGCGUAGAGAUGUGGAGGAACACCAGUGGCGAAGGCGACUCUCUGGUCUGUAACUGACGCUGAGGAGCGAAAGCGUGGGGAGCGAACAGGAUUAGAUACCCGUGUAGUCCCUGUCUCUUAUAC